GAAAUGCGAUAAGUAGUGUGAAUUGCAGAAUUCAGUGAAUCAUCGAAUCUUUGAACGCACAUUGCGCCCUCUGGCAUUCCGGGGGGCAUGCCUGUCCGAGCGUCAUUACGCACCCUCAAGCCCGGCUUGUGUGAUGGGCCCCGGCGUCUCGUUCGCGAGACGGGCCCGAAAGGCAGCGGCGGCGUCGACCCGAUGAGCCCGAGCGUAUGGGGACUUCUGUCACACGUUCGCGGUGCGGACCGGCGCCUGCUUGACUUUUCUGAUUAUCCAGGUUGACCUCGGAUCAGGUAGGGAUACCCGCUGAACUUAAGC
rnacentral:misc_RNA from 1 species